rnacentral:rRNA from 1 species
CAAUACGGAGGUGGCAAGCGUUGUUCGGAAUUACUGGGUGUAAAGCGCAUGUAGGCGUCCUAACAAGUCAAAGGUGAAAGCCCUCGGCUUAACAGAGGAACUGCCUUUGAAACCAUUAGGAUUGAGUUCGGUAGAGGAGAGUGGAAUUUCCGGUGUAAGGGUGAAAUCUGUAGAUAUCGGAAAGGACACCAGUGGCGAAGGCGACUCUCUAGUCCGAAACUGACGCUGAGAUGCGAAAGCUAGGGGAGCGAACAGGAUUAGAUACCCUGGUAGUCCUAGCUGUAAACGAUGGGCACUAGGUACUGGUAGUUUUACUAUCAGUGCUGCAGUUAACACAUUAAGUGCCCCACCUGGGGACUACGCCGGCAACGGUG